ACUGACAGGUGACACGGCAAAUAAAGGGAGAUUAAAAGCCAUGCCUUGUCUGACAUGGGCCCAUUUGAUACUUACCAAUGGCAGGAUACGGAACACUGCUUACUCUUGAUGGGAAGUCAUUGAACAUAGUGUAAUUUCUUGGAAAGAGGGGAAACUGAGGCUCGGGAGAUUUAUGGUAACCUUCCCAAGACCGUCAGUGACCAGCCAAGACGGAACACAGACAUUAUGUUAGAGCACUUAUACGUGAUGACAGAGAUUUACUUGGGGUGAAGGAGCAGUGUCAACAUGAUCACCUCGAAGUAUAAUUAAGUAAUUAGGGUGAAAUGUUGAUAUUACAGAGAAAGCAACUCAUGGGCAACGUUACACUGGAAAAGAACUCAUGAUCUGGGCUAGAAUCCAAAGACUUCUGCCAAAAAAAAACAAAGUAAAAAUACUAAUAAUUUUAGAUCGGCUGGAGGUUGAAACGAUCAUAUGUUGGCUAUCUAAGGAUAAAUAAAAUGUGUUAUUAAAUUAAUUUCACCUGUUCGGUUUACUGUUUAAUGCGACUGUUAGAAAACUUUAAAUACGUAUGUGACUUGUAUUGUGUUUCUAUUGGACAGCACUGUUCUAGAU